CUGUCGGAGGCUGGGUGUCGUUCUCUAGUGCAGAUUGUCUAAUUGAGUUUCUGAAAGCGUCGUCCACGUCUGCACUUCAUGGGUCCGUACACUGGGAACUCACGCCUGAGAACUUCCUGCUCACCAGAUUGGUUUCAGUUUCUCUGUCUGCAUCGAAGAAGGUCAGCACUUUGCCUCGAACAGUUUCAUGAUUACACUCAUGACAUGAUUUACAGUACAGUAGUCUCAUGCGUUGAGCACUUGAGCUCAUAAUACUGCAAUACGGACAUACAUUUUCCAAGCAUAAAUUAAUGAAGAAGUUAUUGCAACAGGAGGGCCUCUAAUUGUAAUUCAUAUACACAUUUCAGCUCAAUAACCAUAUAACGCAUCUUGCCCGAGCUUGAUACUUCCGACUAUCUCCAUGUCUUUCGGGUCAAAGUUAAGUUAGCUCUAUAUACGAGCAGGCAUUUUAUUCUUUGGGAGCAAGCAAGAAUCAACAUAUUCUCUCGCAAUAUUAUCUCCUCCUUCCCCUUGUCAUCCUAAUCCCCUGCAGAUGGCAUGACUAGCUAGGUUCAUAACAGUUGUUGUAACUAUCCGUCCGGUCAUGAAUCAACAAUUACAAUUGUUUUGACUUCUACAAUCAGUUCAGCCGCCUAUGUUGUACUGCCGCUGCCAUUUAAAGAUUUAAGUUGUCAGGUGGAUAUAGGUUCCAUUAGAUUGAAAGUAAUGAAAUUUUAUUUGCCAACCUGGCUGCACUUUGUGAUGCUUUAUUUAUGUAUAUACUUAAAGUUCAAAUGUGAUGUAUGCAUUACUCCUUAUUUGAUACUAGCAUUUGUCGCAAGCACCUUGCUAUUCUGAGUAAUGGUUGAUAUCUUACAUUUAGCCGAGAAGCUGAAAACUUACGAGUUGGAAAACCUUCUAGAUAUACCUAAAAAGACCUUGAAGAUAUCUUCUACUAGACUGGACGAGCUGAUUGACUGGCGAUGGAGAUGCAGCAGUGACCUGCAAUUCUUUCUGCUGUGGAUGGUUCAUUUUGAAAUCUUUUUUAUAUCUGACAAGACACAAGAAAACAACAUAUCUAUCCUGUUAUAUUUACCACUAUCAUCUACAGUGAGUGCUAAGUUGCCCAUAAAUUUUAGUUGAUUUCUGUUCAGAGUGAUCUGAAAAAUAGAUAGCAUAAAAGAUUAGUGGGUAUUACAUUUAGAUUAGUUACAUUUGGGCAAAUAAAUGAGUAGAAGUCAAUUUUGUUUGCUUGAUGUUUCACUUCUUUGAUCUCUUCAUCAUUCUCAUUUUGUUUCAUUGCUUACCAUUUGUUCGAAAAAAUUUCUAGCAGUGGCAAGCAUGGUUAGGGCGAGCAACAAGGGUUCCUGUAGUGCAUAACCAUUUCAAGUCGCCCAAGUUCUAAAGAGAGAUCAGAAGUGCCAGCUACUGAAGCAAAAAAAAGGACCUGAUACACAUUGUAAUCAUGGACUGCUGAUAUACCUGAUGCAUUUCUUCAUGAUGGUCGAUUUCCUUUCACCGGAUCUUACAUGUUUAAUUAUGUGUGCUCGGAACCAAAAACUGAUUGAGAUCUUCAGUUCUUACUUGCAGAUGUUCUGUUAUUCAGAGUAAUUCAGUUUCCAGUCUCUGUUUAUUAAUCAAAUUAUGGGUUAUUUUCAACCAUAUAGGCUUUUAUUAUAUGUUCAGUUAUGCUUCCAUGGGUUUUGCAUAUGUAUUAACAAAACAACCAGACUGCUAUUCUGUAUAUACUUGGAUCAAAGGGUGUACAAUUAAUUUGCUCUUACGAAAGGAAUGAGUAGGCAGCUAGCAGAAUGGGAGGACAAUCAUGACAAGCGAAGGAACAAAUAAAUAGUAAUCCCACAAUUUUUACAACUGCAUUCCACUUUAAUUUGGUAUGGACAUGCAUUUUUAUCCUUGGAGUACUUUGGAUUUUAAGUGGGAAUCAUUGGUUCUUUUCUUCUUAAUAUUUUACUUCUUAUAAUUACAAAUACCAAUUUUAGAGAAUUGAGCUCGUACUUAAAAUUCAAUUGAGUAUGAAGCCACUGCCCAUUGUGUGAAAGAAACAAUUAUAACAUUGUACUCUAACAAAUCACACAUAUAGAGAAAUGUUAUUUUCGAGUCUCCUUAACCUACUGAUCUUUUUUUAGAUAUAUGAAACUUGCAUUUGUUUUCUUAAUUCUUCUGCAAUGCAGGUGAUAUUCCUAAUGGUUGCUGCUGACGCUAAAAAAAUUACUCCUGAAGCACUAGAAGUGCCCUCUCUAUGACGCAUCACUCACUGGAUCCAGAUGGGCAACAUUCCGCUUCAAGAUUAAAGAGUACCGUUUUUGCAUGCUAUCAUUGCUUAUCCAAGAGUAAUCUAGCAUGUGCCUAAUAUAUAUACAUGAUUGUUGCACCAUCACAAGAUUUCCAUUAUAUACAUGGGCAUAACUUUCUUUACUGUGAAUUAAUCGACACGAUGCUUCUGUUUUAAGGAAUGGCAAUGCUAAAUUCUACAGUGGUACUCUCUACUCUGUCGAAUGUUUACAAACACCAUAAAGCUAGAGAUCUAUUGUGGAAACUUUUCUUUCUUUUGUUUGUUAUAACUUCUUAGUGUAAAAAUAAAUAUGGCUUGUCCAUUACGAAACAAAUAUGUAAGAUUUAUUACUUUUCAAAGUUGAAUUGUUCCUGGCAAAUUACACAUGAGAGUGCAUACAAUUGAGUUGUGCUGACUUGCUGUUUCUAAAAUGAUAAGCUGGAGCUGGAGUUACAUAUGAGAGUAGAGAUAAUUAAGUUGUGCUCCUGACUUGAUUAACAAAAGCUGCAGAAGAAAGGGACAAAAUACCAAAGAGCUGAAAUUUUGAAGAAAGGUGGAAGUAGGGAACUACACAACUUGAUUCAAGGUUACGAAGGGAAAAAGGGCAUUGAUUGAGCAGGAGAAAACAAUAAUGGGCCGAGGCAAAGAUAUAGUGCUCAGUUAGUAAAGAGAUAUGUGGGAAGUUGAGCAGCGGGAUGCAAAUGGAAUUUUUGUGACUCACUGAAGGUGAGCAAAACUUCAGAAAAGAAAUUGCAACAGAAGUAGAGCCUCAUCACCAAGAGAACAUAGGGAUUUUAAGUUUUUUGUAGCCUGCACCGGAGACUGUAGAGUUAAGUUUCUACAUCUCAGUGUACAGUUUAACUAUAUCAGGUUAUUUCCUAUGUAGUAAAUAUUUGCUUUUGCCAUUGCUGAUCAUGUCCUUCUCUCUGUGCUUGGAAGCAUAAACUUACUUAGCGAUCCUUUUCUGUUAGGCUAAACUUACAUCCUUCUGCUAAUAGUUUAGUGAUCUAAUGAUUAUAAUGAUUAUUCAAAAGGGACGUUGCAUGUUCCUAGAUGCAUAGCCUUUCUUAUAUAUGUUUUCAUAACACUGGAUUUUUUUAGGGAUAACACUGGGAUUUAAGUUUUUUUGUUAAAUUCUGAAACUGAAAUCCGAAUAAAAAAUAUCUUGAAAGACCAGCAUAAUGGCACUUCAAAUAAAUGCUAAUCUACACUCACACUGCAGGCUGGUGCCCGUUCUUCUGGUGAUUUGGUCAAAGCUACUACUAAGCAAAGAUAUUUUGCAUGCUAUAAGAACAUGUAGGUUCAUAUCGGGGAGCCAUACGAUCCUGCUAAGAAUUUUGAAUCACUUUGAUAUAUUAACAACAACAUCGUUUAAAAUCCAAACAAAUGGCAUACUCCCUGUUAAUUCAAAUGCAGAUACAAACUUUAAGCUUUUCUAAAUAAGGAAAUAUAUUUACAGUCCAAGUGUAGUAAUCUGGGAGUUUGAAAUUAUUUCCCCUUUUUACAAAGCAAGGGACAUUGAAGUUAAUAUUCACAUACAUGGCAGGGAAGGAUUGAUCUCUCUGCUUAGCAAUGAAUUUGUAGCACCCCAUGAAAACAAAUAUUGUGCAGACCCUAUGGCGUCAUUGUGUUAGUAGGCCGUAUUGGCGUUGCAAUCUCCUCUUGGACUAACUAAUGCAUAGGUUAUAAAGCACAUCAAACCUUUUGUAGACCAACAAAUCCAACAUGCUAUGUAGAUCUUGUGUGUACGGAUUAAUCUGAUUGAUGACUGAUGGAAAGCUUCAGGACUUGUAUUCCCCCCUCACCCCAUAUCUGUAGUUUCCUAUGAUUCACUUUCAAAUCUGGAUAUUCUCUUAUAUAUUAACUACUGCAUUGGAGGAAAUUAAAUCACUUGCAAUCUACAAUUAAAGAAUAAUUAAGUGGGACCUUGAGAAACAAUAGUUUGCCAUGGUCUGCAAUGGGGCAGAGCCAAAGAGUUUGACCAGAAUAAAAGUCUGGACAACAAAAUUCAAUGGAGAGAGAUAUCCAUCUGUUACCCACAAAUGAUUAUUUUUUUGUUAGUGCCUCUUCUUCUUUCUUGCCCAUUAUUUAGUUAUAACGUGACAAAAUAAACAUGUUGAUUAUACCCGACUUGCACUGAACAUGAAAUUUUUGUUUAUGCACAAACAUGCGAGUUGUGUAGUACUGUAGGUUGACACUUCAUCGAAACAUAACACACAAUUACAUGUGCGUGUAUAAGGAGAAACUAUACCUGCAGCACACAUCCAUCUAUCUCGGUUUAUGGGAGAACUGGCAAAUUUAUGGUAAUGAAGCAUGUAGCUGAGGUGUGAGACAAAUCUUCCGUAGAGUGUUAAUGUUGUUAGUAGUAAUUAACUUGUCUCCUAGGAGCUAACUGCAGCAACUUACCUUGAUUGUUAGAUACAGUAUAGCAUUAUUCAUCUUCAUCCAUGAUUGAUUCUUCUGUUUGCUGCAAUUCUUUGACAAUUCUUAGCAUCACACAACCAAAGGUGAGAAGCAAAAAUUUGAAGCACGGAACAAAAAAUUCACAAACCAAUGCAUUUAGUAACCAUCGUGGUUCUUACAGGUCCUUUGCAAUCCAAAUUCCAGUUCUAUGACUUGCAAGGAAGGAUGAAGUCCAUGUCAUGAAAAUUUUAAUAUGUGGUCGCUGCCUCCUCCAGCCAUGGAUUUCAAAGGUACGCAGAUUCACCUACAACAUGCAUAUGGGAGAACUUGCAGAUCUGAAGGAAUCAAGUAUCUAGCUAAGGUGCUUGUAGCCACGAUCAGUGCUCCAUCGAGCAAUUUCUUAGGGCUGCACAGAUGCAACAACCUGGUAGAUAGGAUCAUCCUCUAUCAAAAAUAGCCAAAGGAAGAUGUCAGCAUCAGAGAUCCCAUAUAGGCCAGGAUAAUGUCAAAAUAUCUUGGCAUGGGCACGUGGCUCAUAGCCUGAACUUGAGACCGUUUACUCCAUGCUCGUGGUGGAGGCCUAGUCUCGACGGGGGCAUGGCAGUGGCGUGCGUUAGGAUUGGAUUCCGUCGAAGACCUAGGAUUGAUUUUCUAGCUGAGGCUGCGUGCGUGAGGGCUGGAGAGUCGGUUGUAGCCAUGGGAUUCUGGCGGCAGCAGCGUGCGUGAGGGCAGGGGAGUCUGCAGCCCUAUUAUGUUUUUCUUCUUUCAACGAUGGACUCAGGUAAUGGGAAAACUAAUCUAUGGCAUGGCCCUGUAUAUUUUGUCUUCUUUUCACGAUGGAGUCAAGGUUUCUAAAAAAAUUAUGGCAUUGCUGAAUCGUAGAGGCAGGUGAAAGCUAUUUUGACGCAGCAUAUGCUUUAGUAGGAGUUAUCUCUACCUCUCUAUCUCUACCUAAUCUCUACCUAAUAAUAAAGCAAAUUGGGUUUCUGCUUGUCCGUCAUUAGCAUUUUUGCUAAAAAGCCCCUCCCUUUUUUAGUAUUUAACCCGCAGUACAAUUUAAAGUCUGUUUCUUCUUGAGAUAAUGAUUCAUUUUUUGCAAAAAGGACCCGGGCACCACCACCACAACCCCGCCUUAUCCACUGCCGGUCUUCACAAACGGGCAGCGGCGCGCUUGCCAUGGCGUCCGCUCCGCCCGAGCCCAGUAAUGGGGCGAGGCGUCGCGGCGGCGUUCCUGCACGCCUUGUCGGCCUUGGAGCUAGCCUUGGCGGGGGCGGGCCGAGGCGUCGCGGCGGAGGACGAUAAGCAGACGGGCACGCGCCACCGGCGCGCUUGCCGUGGGCGUCCGCUUUGCCCGAGCCCAGUAGUGGGGCGAGGGGUCGCGCCGGCGUUCCUACACGCCUUGUCGACCUUGAAGCUGGCCUUGGCGGGCCGAGGCGUCGCGGCGGAGGACGACAAGGCGGCCGGCGUGCUCUGUUGGGGCGACGCGUCGCGGCGCUCUGGCUCCAGUAGAUGACGGCAGAGAGCCAGGUGUGGCUUUGUGUCGCCGGCCACCGUGCCAGGCUGGAAUAGCUGCUGCAGCCCCCCUUAUUUGAUACUUGCAUUUGUGGCAAGCACCUUGCUGUUCUGAGUAAUGGUUGAUAUCUUAUAUUUAGCCGAGAAGCUGAAAACUUACGAGUUGGAAAACCUUCUAGAUAUACCUAAAAAGACCUUGAAGAUAUCUUCUACUAGACUGGACGAGCUGAUUGACUGGCGAUGGAGAUGCAGCAGUGACCUGCAAUUCUUUCUGCUGUGGAUGGUUCAUUUUGAUAUCUUUUUUAUAUCUGACAAGACACAAGAAAACAACAUAUCUAUCCUGUUAUAUUUACCACUAUCAUCUACAGUGAGUGCUAAGUUGCCCAUAAAUUUUAGUUGACUUCUGUUCAGAGUGAUCUGAAAAAUAGAUAGCAAAAAAGAUUAGUGGGUAUUACAUUUAGAUUAGCUACAUUUGGGCAAAUAAAUGAGUAGAAGUCAAUUUUGUUUGCUUGAUGUUUCACUUCUUUGAUCUCUUCAUCAUUCUCAUUUUGUUUCAUUGCUUACCAUUUGUUCGAAAUUUUUUCUAGCAGUGGCAAGCAUGGUUAGGGCGAGCAACGAGGGUUCCUAUAGUGCAUAACCAUUUCGAGUCGCCCAAGUUCUAAAGAGAGAUCAGAAGUGCCAGCUACUGAAGCAAAAAAAAGGACCUGAUACACAUUGUAAUCAAUGACUGCUGAUAUACCUGAUGCAUUUCUUCAUGAUGGUCGAUUUCCUUUCACCGGAUCUUACAUGUUUAAUUAUGUGUGCUCGGAACCAAAAACUGAUUGAGAUCUUCAGUUCUUACUUGCAGAUGUUCUUUUAUUCAGAGUAAUUCAGUUUCCAGUCUCUAUGUAUUAAUCAAAUUAUGGGUUAUUUUCAACCAUAUAGACUUUUAUUAUAUGUUCAGUUAUGCUUCCAUGGGUUUUGCAUAUGUAUUAACAAAACAACCAGACUGCUAUUACGUAUAUAGUUGGAUCAAAGGGUGUACAAUUAAUUUGCUCUGACGAAAGGAAUGAGUAGGCAGCUAGCAGAAUGGGAGGACAAUCAUGACAAGCGAACGAACAGAUAAAUAGUAAUCCCACAAUUUUUACAACUGCAUUCCACUUUAAUUUGGUAUGGACAUGCAUUUUUAUCCUUGGAGUACUUUGGAUUUUAAGUGGGAAUCAUUGGUUCUUUUCUUCUUAAUAUUUUACUUCUUAUAAUUACAAAUACCAAUUUUAGAGAAUUGAGCUCGUACUUAAAAUUCAAUUGAAUAUGAAGCCACUGCCCAUUGUGUGAAAGAAACAAUUAUAACAUUGUACUCUAACAAAUCACACAUAUAGAGAAAUGUUAUUUUCGAGUCUCCUUAACCUACUGAUCUUUUUUUAGAUAUAUGAAACUUUCAUUUGUUUUCUUAAUUCUUCUGCAAUGCAGGUGAUAUUCCUUGGUUGCUGCUGACGCUAAAAAAAUUACUCCUGAAGCACUAGAAGUGCCCUCUCUAUGGCGCAUCACUCACUAGAUCCAGAUGGGCAACAUUCCGCUUCAAGAUUAAAGAGUACAGUUUUUGCAUGCUAUCAUUGCUUAUCCAAGAGUAAUCUACCAUGUGCCUAAUUGUUAUGACCGGCCAUGUCUAUGGCCGCCGCAGGCCCAACAGGCAGUCUUAGGCCCGCAAGUUACCUUAGUUUUAUUCAGAUUAGGCAAGUUAUCUCAGGAUUGAUUCUUCUACAAGUUAUCUAGGAUAUAAAUAUAGAUUGUAAGACUCUUUUGGAUGGAAGCAAU
rnacentral:lncRNA from 1 species